AUCACCGGGAGAACAAUUUCUAGAUGCUAAAUUGAAAUGUAUUGUGCAGUGUCUUGCGUUGUCAUUCUUUCAUUAUUCAAGGUAUGUGUCUCACAAGGAAAUAGAAAAUCCUGAAUUUUGCAUGUGUGAUUGGUUCAACAACCUCAACCUCUGUCUCGCUGUCAACCACAUGCAAGCUUUCUCCUUGCUUUAGGUGAGAGCAUUUAUUUCAUCGCCUUUUUAGCUUGAUCAGAUUGCAAGUUUGAUAGGUUUCCCUAACCCGGGUUAGGAACCCUUUGAUUUUGGUUCCUUGCUAUAACUCUGUAUGCAAUUUUGUUUCUCUGUCCAUUCUUAGCUACAAAUGCUUAUUUAUAAACAGAUGGAUACAAGGUUCAUUGUAGUCUUGCAGUUUGGAAUACCAAAAAAAGCAUUUGUUUGAGUGGUAUAGCGUUUAGAUGUCAUUUUCUUGUUUGCUGUUUUUAUCGCCUUUUAUUGUCGUGCUAUGAGUUGAUAUGAAUCAGCUAGCUAUUGUCUAAUUGUUGAAAUACCACCCUUUGGAGCAGCCCUUGAACACAGAAUAAGGAAACGAGGAUAUUUCGGAGUCCCAGUUUCACUGCCUUCGUGGAUGCUGGAGCCACUACCACCUUUACUAUGUGUGUGGUUAGGGUAUAGAUCAAACUACAAUUCAACAAUGAUCAUCUACACCAUCAGAUCUGCGACUAUAAAACUCCAUGCUAAUGUUCCAUAUUCCUCUUCUCUGCUAAUUUUUAGAGUUUAUCCUUCUAUGAAUUACCUAAUUUCAGUAACAACUGGCAAAUAUCAGUCUAUUUGUUAACAUCUCCAUCUCCAUCAAGGUUUUUAAAUUGACUUAAGAGUAUGUAUGUGCCCCUAUCAUUUUUUUGGUUCGUCAACAGAUGAAGUAAUCAACCGUUCGAAUGAGGGAUUAGGAGUACAUCAUCUAAAAUAUUGUUGUUUCCAGUUAAAUGUGUACCGAUAAAUUUAACUAUCAAAAUCAUUGUACUGAGAAAAAAAUUUGUUCUUAUUUGCAGGCAUUGUGUGGCGAUAAACACAUGACCAGCAAGGGGCCCUGCCCCCUCCCAAUACUAUGGAUUUGUUCAUAAUAAACACAUGAACAGUGCAGCAUUUGACUUGUUUUCUGCUCCAACCGGCCCUCCCCAACAUCCUAAUCCCAUUAAUCCCCUCCGCCACUGCAGGCAUGCCGGCCUUUUCUUAAUUGCUAUACUUUUGAGGACGCGUCACUAAAAAAACUACAAGAGAGAUUCAGUUAAGACUUAAAUUAACAAUUAUGUAUCUGAAGACUGACGUUUGAGAUUAGAGGUUUCAUGGCAAUGAUGGAGUGCUACCAAAUUAUGUUCCAAGAAAAAUGAUUUCUGCCUCAACUUGACUACAUGCAUGUUGAAUUGUUGACCCGAUUUGACGGACUAUAUAAGUGCUCUUCUCCUUGGGAAUUUGAAAGCACGCCCCUUCUAAGCAUCACACAAUAUAUAGGCUUAUAUACGUGGUAGCAGUCAUUUUACAAGCAUGUGUGCAUUAGACCAGAAAAGGGGAACACAAGCAAAGUACCAGUGGCGUCAGGGGUCUUGGGCGGGGGUCGAAGGGCGUCGGCGUCGCCCACCACCAGUAGCAGCGGAAGUAGAGGUGUCGCCCACCACUACCACCACAACCAGCAGGCGCCUGAAGUGGACCAGCGCGGUGGCGACUGAAGUGGACCAGCAUGGCGGCAAUGGGCGGCAGAAUGUGGGCGAAGUAGACCGACGCGACAGUGGGCGGGCGACGGAGCUCUUCCUUGUGGGCGGGCGGCGGAGCUCCUCAUCAUGGGCGGUCGGUCGAGCUCCUUCAUGGGUGGGCGGCGGAGCUCCUCCUCCUGGGCGGGCUUGUAGGCGACGCAAGACCUGAUCGUGGGCGGCGCAGGAGCUGCUCCCGGAGACGGCUGGCUGCGGCAGCUAGCCGUGGCGACGGCCGGCUGGCCUUGGCGAUGCGGACGACGGGAGGUGGAAGGAGAUGGAGUUUAUUUACAGAGCUUUGAAAGUGGAAGGGCGUUUUUUCAAAAAAAAAACUAUUGUACUGGGCGGGUGACAACUUUCCCCGGACGGAGGGAGUAUUGGUUUAUAGUGGGAGCA